UACGGAGGGUGCAAGCGUUAUCCGGAUUUACUGGGUUUAAAGGGCGCGCAGGCGGCUAUGUAAGUCAGUGGUGAAAUCCCUGGGCUUAACCCGGAAAUUGCCAUUGAUACUAUAUAUCUUGAAUGUUGUGGAGGUAAGCGGAAUAUGUCAUGUAGCGGUGAAAUGCUUAGAUAUGACAUAGAACACCUAUUGCGAAGGCAGCUUACUACGCAGAUAUUGACGCUCAUGCACGAAAGCGUGGGGAUCAAACAGG
rnacentral:rRNA from 1 species